ACAUAGCUGACGAGUCCCAAAUAGGAAGAAAGGCGCGUCCUGGAU
rfam:Schistosoma rodhaini strain Burundi genome assembly, scaffold: SROB_scaffold0002470